UGGGGAAUAUUGCGCAAUGGGCGAAAGCCUGACGCAGCGACGCCGCGUGAGGGAUGAAGGUUUUCGGAUCGUAAACCUCUGUCAGAAGGGAAGAAACCGCACUGUGCUAAUCAGCAGUGCCUUGACGGUACCUUCAAAGGAAACACCGGCUAACUCCGUGCCAGCAGCCGCGGUAAUACGGAGGGUGCAAGCGUUAAUCGGAAUUACUGGGCGUAAAGCGCACGUAGGCUGCUUUGUAAGUCAGGGGUGAAAUCCCACGGCUCAACCGUGGAACUGCCUUUGAUACUGCUUAGCUUGAAUCCGGGAGAGGGUGGCGGAAUUCCAGGUGUAGGAGUGAAAUCCGUAGAUAUCUGGAGGAACAUCAGUGGCGAAGGCGGCCACCUGGACCGGUAUUGACGCUGAGGUGCGAAAGCGUGGGGAGCAAACAGG
rnacentral:rRNA from 1 species